AACGAACGCUGGCGGCAGGCUUAACACAUGCAAGUCGAGCGCAUCCUUCGGGGUGAGCGGCGGACGGGUGAGUAACGCGUGGGAACGUGCCCUCUUCUACGGAAUAGCCUCGGGAAACUGAGAGUAAUGCCGUAUACGCCCGCAAGGGGAAAGAUUUAUCGGAGGAGGAUCGGCCCGCGUUGGAUUAGGUAGUUGGUGGGUAACGGCCUACCAAGCCGACGAUCCAUAGCUGGUUUGAGAGGAUGGUCAGCCACACUGGGACUGAGACACGGCCCAGACUCCUACGGGAGGCAGCAGUGGGGAAUCUUGGACAAUGGGGGCAACCCUGAUCCAGCCAUGCCGCGUGAUCGAUGAAGGCCUUAGGGUUGUAAAGAUCUUUCAGCUGGGAAGAUAAUGACGGUACCAGCAGAAGAAGCCCCGGCUAACUCCGUG
rnacentral:rRNA from 1 species